rnacentral:lncRNA from 1 species
AUGGCUAGGCUACGGAAUUUAAAGUCUACCGAUAGGACUUAGAUAGUGGAGAGGACUUACUCAGUGGGUAACUUCAGUCAAGUCCCCGUCUUGCGGUGAUGCUAUACGUGCGUCUUCCUCCCAUCUUGCUUCUGUCUCUUUUGCUUCUUCCUUCUUUAGUUCCAACUCUUCAGUUCUAUUCUCUUUCUCCCAGGCUUCUAAUCGGGCUAGGAUCUCUUCUUUCUCUUUCUUGGCGAUCUGGUCCAUCCGUUCAGCUUCUACGGCCCACUCACUCCAUCAGGGUGCGUGCGUGUCUUCUUCUUCCUCCAUGAGGUGAUCUUCAUAUCUUACCACCUUGCCAGGAAAGUCUUCACAUCUGCAGUGAGGCCAGAUAGCCUGACGGCGGGUUUGGCGUCUUCUCCUGUUGCGUUCCUUCCUAGUUUGCUCAUGGUUACAUAAUGUUCUAAAUUGACAGCGUACCUUUUCGGUGGGUAGGUUGAAAAGGACAUGCCCUGAUCUGAUGUAGAUGUUGGCUUUAGCUGUGUAGAGGAACGGUCUUUCUAAGAGGAUCAGAAUCUCAUCAUCUCCCUGUAUGUCAAGCACUAGAAAAUCUGCAGGUAUAU